UACGUAGGGGGCGAGCGUUGUCCGGAUUUAUUGGGCGUAAAGAGCUCGUAGGCGGUUCGAUAAGUCGGACGUGAAAUCUCCACGCUCAACGUGGAGGGGCCGUUCGAUACUGUCGUGACUCGAGUCCGGUAGGGGAGUGUGGAAUUCCCGGUGUAGCGGUGAAAUGCGCAGAUAUCAGGAGGAACACCGGUGGCGAAGGCGCCACUCUGGGCCGGUACUGACGCUGAGGAGCGAAAGCGUGGGUAGCAAACAGG
rnacentral:rRNA from 1 species